GACGAACGCUGGCGGCGUGCCUAAUACAUGCAAGUAGAACGCACAGUUUAUACCGUAGCUUGCUACACCAUAGACUGUGAGUUGCGAACGGGUGAGUAACGCGUAGGUAACCUGCCUGGUAGCGGGGGAUAACUAUUGGAAACGAUAGCUAAUACCGCAUAAUAUUGAUUAUUGCAUGAUAAUUAAUUGAAAGGUGCAAUUGCACCACUACCAGAUGGACCUGCGUUGUAUUAGCUAGUAGGUGAGGUAACGGCUCACCUAGGCGACGAUACAUAGCCGACCUGAGAGGGUGAUCGGCCAAACUGGGACUGAGACACGGCCCAGACUCCUACGGGAGGCAGCAGUAGGGAAUCUUCGGCAAUGGACGAAAGUCUGACCGAGCAACGCCGCGCGAGUGAAGAAGGUUUUCGGAUCGUAAAGCUCUGUUGUAAGAGAAGAACGGGUGUGAGAGUGGAAAGUUCACACUGUGACGGUAUCUUACCAGAAAGGGACGGCUAACUACGUG
rnacentral:rRNA from 1 species